CUGGAUUGCAAUGCCCUGCAAGGUUGAUUUCGGGGGUUUGGCCAUUGCCAAAUUUGUUGAGGAAGGCUAUGUUCACGUAGGAAUAUCUGCCUGUGUCGCAUGUUUGGUUGAGGGUUCCCUCCAAGCCGUUUUGGCCCCAGUAGAUGGCGAUUCCACCGGCAUCACAGAAUCUAAUAACCAGUGCUAGUACUGCUAGGCGGACGAAUAGGGGUGAAGCUUGAAAUUUUCUACCCAUUUUUGCUGGCAUACUUACCUUUGCAUCUCUAUGCCAAG
rnacentral:misc_RNA from 1 species